rnacentral:tRNA from 1 species
GGGGGUGUAGCUCAGUUGGUUAGAGCGUCUCCCUGUCACGGAGAAGGUCGCGGGUUCGAGUCCCGUCACUCCCG